rnacentral:rRNA from 1 species
GCAAAUCUCCAUAUUCCGGUGUCAAAUCCCAUAAAACUAGCUUCAACCUAGCCAAAGGAGAGGAUAUCAAGCACAUUUAACCUAUAGCUCAAGACAUCUUGCCCCAGCCACACCCCCACGGAUACAGCAGUGAUAGAAAUUAAGCAAUGAACGAAAGUUUGACUAAGUUAUACUCUCGAGGGUUGGUAAAUUUCGUGCCAGCCACCGCGGUCAUCGAUUAACCCAAACUAAUUAUUAAACGGCGUAAAAAGUGUUACACAAGACAAAAAAUAGAAUUAAAAUUCAACUUAUAUGUGAAAAUUCAUUGUUAGAACCUAAACACAAUAACGAAAGUAAUUCUAAUAUCUAUCCAUACACGAUAGCUAAGACCCAAACUGGGAUUAGAUACCCCACUAUGCUUAGCCCUAAACCUCAAUAAUUGCUAACAAAAUUAUUUGCCAGAGAACUACUAGCCACAGCUUAAAACUCAAAGGACUUGGCGGUACUUUAUAUCCAUCUAGAGGAGCCUGUUCUAUAAUCGAUACACCCCGUUAUACCUCACCACCCCUUGCUAAUACAGCCUAUAUACCGCCAUCUUCAGCAAACCCUAAAAAGGAACACAAGUAAGCAAGAGAACAAACAUAAAAACGUUAGGUCAAGGUGUAGCCUAUGAGGUGGGAAGAAAUGGGCUACAUUUUCUUUAACAAGAACAUACGAAAACCUUUAUGAAACUAAAGGAUUAAGGAGGAUUUAGCAGUAAAUUAAGAAUAGAGAGCUUAAUUG